rnacentral:lncRNA from 1 species
UUAUGACUACACACACAUAUACAUCUGUGUAAAGAAGAUUCAUAGCUCUGAGAACCUUCAAAAUUGGAUGAAAUUUAUAGUUACAUUGCUUAUUUAGCCUCCUUCUGUACUUUUAGGAAUAAUUUACUGCAUUGAGUUGAUUUCUUGUAUUUUUGGAAGUCAAAAACUUAAACUUCAACUUUUCCCCUGAAUCAAUGGUCAUCCUUGAAUGAACAUGCUGAAAGAUCUGGGAAGUUUAAGCAAGAUGUCCCCUGAGUGGGGUCCCGCAGUGCUGGAUGAUCUCUAUUCACCCCUGUCUUCUGCUGCUUGCCUUGGAGGUGCUGGUGGAGAGGUGAGAGGAAAAAAGAAGAUUCGUAACCGAAAAGCACAGACAAUAGACUUGAGCUAGUGUUUACUUUGGGCCGGUGGUGAAGGGAAAGAAGGAAAAAAAACCCUCUUUAAAAAGCCAUACACUGUAAAACCUGACAUCUGACUAACCUA